UCCCCCCAGAAUCCUUUGCGAAGAAAAAAAAAUUAGGAUUAAAAAACAAAAGGGGAAGGGGGUGGGACAGCGGCCAAUGGAGGCGCUGUCGAGCAAUGACGUCAUGGCUGCUUUUCAGUGGGCGGGCUGGAGGACGCCUCGGCAACAAGGUCACGUGCUCCUCGAAGAUUGACGCGCUCCCUCCACCAACCCCCCACCCCCACCCCACCGCAGGAAAACUGCCUCGACGCUUUCCCACUGCGACGGUGAUGUCAUUCCUGUUUAUCCUGCAGGGCUGAAAGCGUAGCGAGGCAGGGCGUUGCACAGGCUUCGGAGGGAAUAAAAAUGGUAAACCGGCCGCAUGGAGAAAAACAGGAUAAAGCCGGUUGCUACUUGGAGAAAAGAACAAAUGAAGAUAAACCUGACACUGGAAAUGUUAUGCAGAAAUAGAAUUUUGAAUUCAUCUAUCAAUUGAGUUAACAUGAACCAAGAAUAAUUGUAAAAAUUAGAACACAAAAAGACUAGCCCAGUCCAGUAUUAUGUUUACCCACUGUCUAAACAGAUGCUAAUAAAAAGUCCAGUCAGGACACAA